rnacentral:rRNA from 1 species
UACAGAGGUCUCAAGCGUUGUCCGGAAUCAUUGGGCGUAAAGAGCGUGUAGGCGGUCCGGUAAGUCGGCUGUGAAAGUCCAGGCUCAACCCUGGGAUGCCGGUGGAUACUGUCGAGCUCGAGUCCGGAAGAGGCGAGUGGAAUUCCUGGUGUAGCGGUGAAAUGCGCAGAUAUCAGGAGGAACACCAAUGGCGAAGGCAGCUCGCUGGGACGGUACUGACGCUGAGACGACGAAGCGUGGGGAGCAAACAGG